AUACGUAGGUGACAAGCGUUAUCCGGAUUUACUGGGCGUAAAGGGCGCGUAGGCGGGCAGGCAAGUCAGAUGUGAAAUCUCCGGGCUCAACCCGGAAAUUGCAUUUGAAACUGCAGGUCUUGAGUAUCGGAGAGGCAAGCGGAAUUCCUAGUGUAGCGGUGAAAUGCGUAGAUAUUAGGAGGAACACCAGUGGCGAAGGCGGCUUGCUGGACGACAACUGACGCUGAGGCGCGAAAGCGUGGGGAGCAAACAGGAUUAGAUACCCUGGUAGUCCACGCCCUAAACGAUGAAUACUAGGUGUGGGGGGACUGACCCCCUCCGUGCCGGAGUAAACACAAUAAGUAUUCCACCUGGGGAGUACGACCGCAAGGUUGAAACUCAAAGGAAUUGACGGGG
rnacentral:rRNA from 1 species